ensembl:lncRNA
UGGAUGGGUUUAUGGAUCAAAUUGAAAGUUUUACAGAGCAACGACUGGUUACUAUCUGACCAAACUGUAGAAUUUGAAGCUUCCGUAGCCAUGAACAGACAAGGCGGCGGUCGUCGUCGGAAACUCGUGGACUUGGCUGUUGAUGAGGUGAUCAAAAGGAAAAAGACGAGUUUAUUUUGCCCGACCAAUAUUUCAAAUAAUUUGUGCUUCUCCAUCUGUCUCGCCCGUUUUCUUAACCCCCAACACCCCGAGAGUGGUUGUUUCGAAAUGCAUUAAAAAAAAAACCCUCCCGGUCAGGAAUACCCUGCAUGUGAUAUGAUCAAAUACUGCAAAUUAUGUAAUAGACGUUACAGCGUUAAACCGGGCAACGAGAAAACCAAACACAUAUGCGCCCCAGACAAAUGUGUGCAUUGUCGAGAGCGUCUGAUGGACGAUGGGGCACAUCAAUGCUUCAUACAAUCUCUACAGCCUAAGGAACCGUGUGAAAACUACAUCUUUUACGAUUUUGAAACACGUUACGAAAAUGGCCGCCACAAGGCUAAUUUUGUCUGUGCCCUGACAUUGAAAGGUCAGAAAUUUACCGCCUACGGUAUGGACUGCAUCGCUAAGCUAUGUAGAACCUGCGCUCAAGACCAAAACCAGACCUCGAGCUGUACCCACACGGACAAGGAAAGAUCGCUCUCGGGCUCUUGGGUCAGUAUCGAGCUUUUAAAAGCCAUCGAGAAGGGCUAUGUGAUAGCCAAGAUAGACGAGGUUUGGCAUUUUCCACAACGGUCAGACACGUUGUUUGUCGAAUACGUAAAAACAUUCUUGCGUUUGAAACAACAAGCGUCGGGCUACCCUUCGAACGUCGUCACGGAUGCGGAGAAAGAGGCUUACAUUCGUGACUAUUUUGAAAAAGAGGGUAUUCAACUCGACCCGGAAAAAAUCAAGUACAAUGCCGCACAAAGGGCGAUCACUAAAUUAAUUCUGAAUAGUUUGUGGGGACGCUUCUCUUUAAGACCGAACUUACCUCAAACGAUUCUGGUGAACGAGCCCGAAGAUUUUGCCAGAAUCGUCUUUGGCAACACCGACACGUUGGCCUAUUUCUCAUUCGUCUCAGACGACGUAGCUCUAGUCCAGCAUAAACCCGACAAAGACGAUGUUUGCAAGGUGCGCGACGUGAAUGUUGUUGUAGGCGCGUUCACUACAGCACACGCCCGACUGGAAUUGUACGAAUUGAUGGACAGACUAGGCGACCGACUGCUAUACUCUGACACAGACAGCGUCGUAUUAGUGUCUAGGGACGGCGACUGGGAGCCUCCCCUGGGUGAUCAUUUAGGGGAGCUGACGAGCGAAUUAGACCCCGAUGACUAUAUAACGACCUUCUGUGCCAGUGGCCCCAAAUCGUAUGCUUUCGAGACGGUCAAAGGUAAAGUUUCCGUG